UGUGAUGGGAAGGAUGGCCUAUUGUGU
rnacentral:piRNA from 1 species